rnacentral:rRNA from 1 species
GGAAUAUUGGACAAUGGUCGCAAGACUGAUCCAGCCAUGCCGCGUGCAGGAUGAAGGCGCUCAGCGGUGUAAACUGCUUUUGUUCGGGAAAAAACCCCCUCUUUCCAGAGGGGCUGAUGGUACCGAGAGAAUAAGGAACGGCUAACUUCGUGACAGCAGCCGCGGUAAUACGAAGUUCCCAAGCGUUAUCCGGAUUUAUUGGGUUUAAAGGGUGCGUAGGCGGACUAUUAAGUCAGUGGUGAAAGCCCCGGGCCUAACCCGGGAAUUGCCAUUGAUACUGAUGGUCUUGAGUACAUUUGAGGAGGGCGGAAUGUGUCAUGUAGCGGUGAAAUGCUUAGAUAUGACACAGAACACCAAUUGCGUAGGCAGCUCUCUAAACUGUAACUGACGCUGAGGCACGAAAGCGUGGGGAGCA